AUCUGUAAAACUGCAGUGGAUAGGAUGUCACGCUGUGACCGUGACAACCCCGGUUCAAAUCCGGGUAUCGACU